rnacentral:tRNA from 1 species
CUCCUCGUAGCUUAGUGGUAGAGUACUAGUGCGUAAAACCAGGGGCCGGGUUCUAUUCCCGGCGAGAGA